rnacentral:rRNA from 1 species
CCUACGGGAGGCUGCAGUAGGGAAUCUUCCACAAUGGGCGAAAGCCUGAUGGAGCAACGCCGCGUGGGUGAAGAAGGUCUUCGGAUCGUAAAACCCUGUUGUUAGAGAAGAAAGUGCGUGAGAGUAACUGUUCACGUUUCGACGGUAUCUAACAGGAAAGCCACGGCUAACUACGUGCCACGAGCGGCGGUAAUACGUGGGUGGCAAGCGUUAUCCGGAUUUAUUGGGCGUAAAGUGAACGCACGCGGUCUUUUAAGUGUGAUGUGAAAGCCUUCGGCUUAACCGGAAUAGUGCAUUGGAAACUGGGAGACUUGAGUGCAGAAGAGGAGAGUGGAACUACAUGUGUAGCGGUGAAAUGCGUAGAUAUAUGGAAGAACACCAGUGGCGAAAGCGGCUCUCUGGUCUGUAACUGACGCUGAGGUUCGAAAGCGUGGGUAGCAAACAGGAUUAGAUACCCUUGUAGUC